CCAACUGAGGGCAGAGGGACGCGAAGGAAUCGGAUGUUCCGUUCCGCGAGAGCGAUUCCCACCCCCGACGCGCGGGCGGCGGGCGUGAUCGCGCACGGCCACCUCCGGAUUUUGGCGGCCUCUGCCGCCGAUGUUGGGGCGUGUGUUGGCGGCGGUGGCGAGUCGACGACGUCGGAGUCGCCACUCUUCGCAGAGGGGCGAGUCGCGCGCGCGUUCGGGGUGCGUUCUGAUGUGCCGUUCCGUCUCCUCGGUGUGACUCCAGUGAUGGUGUCGUGUCACGUCCACGAGAGAAUCGACCUCGAAGGCGAAGGCACGGAGCGACAGCAGCAGCAGCAGCAGCAGCAGCAGCAGCAACCAAAGCGACGAUGAUCUUCCGGAUCGAUUUUCCUCGCUUUUCCUGCGCCCAGGACAGAUACUGACGAUAUGGAUACAGUAUGGCUUCAGUACUCUGGCAUGCCUCUGGGAGUAGUUUUCUUUCGUCAGCCCUCGUGCUACUCUUGCUACUCUGUCCAGACAGCUCCACAGCCCGCGAGGUAAUUGACGCGCCACUGCCACAACAAGACUACGUUCCAUCACUGCCGCCACCACCACCGGGAGGCCUCACCACUGCCAGAACACCAAAGUGCGACCAAAAGUUCGUAAGCACUCCUGACGGGCCGUCGAAUGGAACUUUUCAUGCACCGACGCUGAUCAACCUCGAAGGGAAUCCUCGACAGUGCGUUUAUACGUUCCUCGCAGGGCCACGUCAGCGUGUCGAAUUGGUUUUCACGUCGUUCGGCCUUCGGGGAAAGCCGCCAGAUGGAUCUGCUGUGGGAGAAUUACCCGCCUGUGUUCACGAGUUCAUGGAUAUAUACUCGGAGAUACGAUCGGAGAACACGACUAAGCUGAUAGAAACGCCAUUCGGCGGUCGGUUCUGCGGGCCGACCCCACCUCGUAGACGGGUUUCUCUCUAUCAGGGGAUCGCCUUAAGUUUCUUCACCGACAAGAAUCUCACGCUACCGAACGUUUUCAGCGGUAUUUACAAAUUUAUCAACGCCUCCGAGUACGAGGUGGGCACGCUGGCGCCGAGCACACCGUGCUCGUUCACGAUAAGCGCGGAGGCCAAGGGCAGCGGCAACAUACUGUCGCCCACUUAUCCUGGCACCUAUCCGAAGGACCUCGUCUGUAGCUAUCAGUUUAUCGGCAAGGCCGGGCAGCGCGUGCGACUGGAGUUUCGCGACUUCGACUUGUUUUUCGGGGGGCCACAUUGUCCGUUGGACUACGUGAAGGUGCACGACGGCAUCGACAAUUCGACGGCCGUGAUCGGCACGUACUGCGGCCAACAGCGGAACCUGGUGCUGUACUCCUCGGAGUCCAGCCUGUACGUGGCGUUCGUCACGCUCAAGCGCACCGCGAACACGCAGAACCGCGGCUUCAAGGGCAUCUUCGAGUUCUCAGAGAGUUUCGUCAGUCUGGACUUCAUCAAGGAGUACCAAGGGGAGCACAUCCGCGGAUCCGAGUGCGACCAGAAGAUCCUCAGCAAGAAGGAGACCUCGGGAUUCGUAGUCAGCCCAAACUUUCCAUAUCCUUACAUACCGAAGGUCGUCUGCCGUUACUUCAUCUACGGGAUGCAGGACUCGCAGCACCUCGAGCGCGUGCGACUGGAGUUUGAGAAAUUCGCGAUACAGACACCGAAGGGAGAGUCAUGCACCGAUGGCUACCUAAAGCUAUAUCUGAAGGGUCAGGAGGCGACGGAUUCCUACGACAAAUUCGAUUACGAGAUGUGCGGCAACAAGAGCAAUCCGAGCCACGUAGUUAGCGACGGGCCGAGACUCGUGAUGGUGUUCAGUAGCGGCGAGCUGCAGGCGACGGGUUUCAAAGCGAAGUACACCUUCGAGACGGAGUACAAGAUCCCGGGCACCGCGGCUCCUGAUGGCAGCUGCACCUUCACGUACCGCAGCUCGUCGCGCAAACGAGGAGAAUUCAACUCGCCGCGCUACCCCAGCAACUACCCGAGCGACACCAACUGCACGUACUUCUUCCUGGCGACGCCGAACGAACAGGUCGCGCUGAUCUUCGAUCACUUCAAGGUGCGGACGAAGAAUCUCAAUGCCACGGACGGCCACUACGGGUACGAGCUGUGCCAGGAAGACUGGCUGGAGAUCUACAAUAUGUAUAGAGACCACACGGAGAAGCUGAUCGGCAGGUAUUGCGGCACAACCGCGCCCGGCCCGGUCGAGUCGAACCUUGGCGCCCUCGGCUUGAAGGUGAUUCUCCACACCGACUCGGAGCUCGUCUACAGCGGCUUCAAGGCGCGCUACACCUUCGAGGUCGCCAAACCUAUCUUUGGAGAUUGCGGGUCGAAUAUCAGCAGCUUAAAUUAUGGCAUCAUUACCAGUCCGAAUUUCCCGAACAAGUACGAGGGACCGGCGCGGAACCUCGCCAGCAAGACCUGCAACUGGUUCAUAAGAGUGCGGCCGAAUCAGCAGAUACUGUUGAACUUUGAGCUUUUCUCCGUGGAGGGCGACCAAUCAGCGCGAGGGUGUCCGGCGGCCGUGUUACGUAUGUGGUACUCCUUGACGUCGACCCCGCGCGAACUCUGCGGCAUGAAACCAACCGACGCUAAGUGGAGCUUCAUCUCGGAGGACAACAACAUGCGGCUCAGCUUCAUAUCGGCCGACAAGGCGGUGGGCCAGCAGGGCUUUCGCGCGGUCUGGACCGAGGUGAGCAGCGACACCGUCUGCCAAGAUCAGUUUCUAUGCAGCAAAAAUAAGUACUGCAUCGCCGAGUCCCUACGGUGCAAUAACAUUGAUAAUUGCGGGCCGGACGAUGCGUCGGACGAGGAGAACUGUGCAGCAUCAGCCCCAUUGUCACCAGCACUGGCUGGGGCCUCUGCCAUGCUUCUUCUCUCUCUGUGCUUUGUGUUCGUGGCCAUCUGAGCCCCCUCAUGAAGCUUCCGACGAUCCGGCAUGCUAUGAUCUCCCCUAUCAAUCACGCGCCGAGAAGCCGCAGACGGACAGCUACAUGGCGCUGGUAGCUUACUUGAUCGGCAGCAUCCUGGUGGUCGUAACGAUCUGUCUGAUCUGCCAUCGCCUGCGACGAUGCGCGCGCGGUAUGCCGAUCGACGAGCUGCCGCAGCGGGUCGUCGACGACCGACGCCAUUGCUAC
rnacentral:misc_RNA from 1 species